GAUGAACGCUGGCGGCGUGCCUAACACAUGCAAGUCGAGCGAACAGACGAGGAGUUUGCUUGGCUCACGUUAGGGGCGGGCGGGUGAGUCACACGUGUAUACCCUGCUGAUAUGACUGAUAUACCUUCGGGAAAGCGGAUAAAACACCGGAUAAUAGAUUGAACCGGGUGGUUCAUUAGUGAAAGACGGUUUUGCUGUCACUUAUAGAUGGUUCCUCGUUGCUUUGGGUAGUUGGUAAGGAAACGGCUUACCAAGGCGACGAUGCGUAGCCGACCCGAGAGGGUGAUCGGCCACACUGGAACUGAGACACGGUCCAGACUCCUACGGGAGGCAGCAGUAGGGAAUAUUCGGCAAUGGGCGAAAGCCUGACGCAGCGAUGCCGCGUGUGUGAUGAAGGUCUUCGGAUCGUAAAGCUCUUUUAUUAGGGAAGAACGACUGUGAAAGUAAAUCUGGACGUUUUGACGGUACCUAAUGAAAAAGCAACGGCUAACUACGUG
rnacentral:rRNA from 1 species